rnacentral:rRNA from 1 species
ACAUGCAAGUCGAGCGGUAACAGGCGUAGCAAUACGUGCUGACGAGCGGCGAACGGGUGAGUAACGCUUCGGAAUCUGCCCAAUGGUGGGGAAUAACCAGCCGAAAGGUUGGCUAAUACCGCAUGAGCCCUUCGGGGGAAAGCGGGGGAUCGCAAGACCUCGCGCCGAUGGAUGAGCCGAAGUCGGAUUAGCUUGUUGGUAGGGUAACGGCCUACCAAGGCGACGAUCCGUAGCUGGUCUGAGAGGACGACCAGCCACACUGGGACUGAGACACGGCCCAGACUCCUACGGGAGGCAGCAGUGGGGAAUAUUGGACAAUGGGGGAAACCCUGAUCCGGCGACGCCGCGUGUGUGAAGAAGGCCUGCGGGUUGUAAAGCACUUUUAGUGGGGAUGAAAAGCUCAGGGCUAACACCUCUGGGUCUUGACCUAACCCACAGAAAAAGCACCGGCUAACUCUGUGCCAGCAGCCGCGGUAAUACAGAGGGUGCAAGCGUUAAUCGGAAUUACUGGGCGUAAA